UACGUAGGUGGCGAGCGUUGUUCGGAUUUAUUGGGCGUAAAGGGUCUGUAGGAGGUUCGUUAAAUGCGGGGUGAAAUCCGGGGGCUCAACUCCCGAACUGCCCUGUAGACUGAUGGACUAGGGUACUGGAGAGGUAAGCGGAAUACCAAGUGUAGCGGUGGAAUGCGUAGAUAUUUGGUAGAACACCGAGAGCGAAGGCAGCUUACUGGACUUUGACCGACUCUGAAAGACGAAAGCGUGGGGAGCAAAC
rnacentral:rRNA from 1 species